CUACGGGCCGCUCCAGUGAGGAAUAUUGCACAAUGGGGGGAACCCUGAUGCAGCAACGCCGCGUGGAGGAUGACGCAUUUCGGUGUGUAAACUCCUUUUAUCAGAGAAGAACAUGACGGUAUCUGAUGAAUAAGCUCCGGCUAACUCCGUGCCAGCAGCCGCGGUAAUACGGAGGGAGCAAGCGUUAUUCGGAAUCACUGGGCGUAAAGGACGCGUAGGCGGGACAGUAAGUCAGGUGUGAAAUCCAAUGGCUCAACCAUUGAACUGCACUUGAAACUGCUGACCUAGAGUACUGAAGGGGCAGAUGGAAUUAGUGGUGUAGGGGUAAAAUCCGUAGAUAUCACUAGGAAUACCGAAAGCGAAGGCGAUCUGCUGGGAAGUUACUGACGCUGAGGCGUGAAAGCGUGGGGAGCAAACAGGAUUAGAUACCCUGGUAGUC
rnacentral:rRNA from 1 species